CUGCCACAAUACAAUGUGCCAUGUGAGGCAAUGACAGUGCUCAACCCUCUCGGCGAUUAUGAACAAGGGCGCACAACAACGCCUCAAGCCAACACGUCUCCCUGAGUGUUCGGUGUGCUACGCGGACAAACAGCAGUGGUGUACGCAAGGUAACAUUUAACAUCAAUUCACCACUCUCGUAUUGGAUUGAACGCUGAAGAAAUUAUACAUUUUCCGUCAACGUUCCAGCUAAUUAUUGUCAAUCAAAGCAAACAGCUAGAAAAGCUUUGCUUGCAUCGAUUGCCGCAGUGCAUGGGAUCUGCGUAAUUAUUUAAAACAUUUUUGGA
rnacentral:lncRNA from 1 species